GCAUGGUCGUGUUAUAUCCCGGAUUUGGGGCGUGACAUUUUAUGGUAUCAGAGCUUAGGUUAUAAUCAUUGGGAAUUAUGAUAUAAAUGAUAUAAAUGAUUAGGCUAUGAUAGAAUAAUAUCAGAGCUUAGGUUUAAGAUCAUUGAGAUUAUAAAGUGAUAUCAAAACUUUAUGUAUGAUCAAUAGGAUGUGACAUAGUAGAGUAUAAUGGAUAAUA
rnacentral:lncRNA from 1 species